ACUUUUAAUAAUAGAUCUCUUAGCUUUAAUAUCGAUAAAGAAUAUAGCGAAAUAUAAUAUAUAAUAUAAAUUAUAGAAUUUAGUAAAUUAUCGAAUCUUUAAACGUAUAUAGCGCCUUCUAGUAUCCUAAGAGGUAUACCUAUCUAAGUAUCGUUUUAACCCUCGAGCCCUAAUAGCCUAGUAUUAGGGAUCUACGUCUAUAAGCCCUUAAAAGUAAUAGCGGACUUAUAUAGCCCUUCCUUAUAUAAUAAUUAUAGCUUAUAUCGGAGUCCCGUAAACGCUUACCUCUAAACCCCCUAUAAGCCCGCCUUAUAUAGUAAUAGUUAACCUUAGAUUAAGUAGGAAUACCUAUUAAACUUAAAUAUAUUAAUAAACGGAGGAAAAGAAAUUAAUAAGGAUUACCUUAAUAAUAGUAAGUAAAGUAGUAAUAGCUUAAAUUUAAAAUCUAGCUCUUUUAAAAUCUAAGUUAUAAUUUUAUAGAAGAUAUUUCGAAUUAUAAUUCCUUCCGAGUUCCUUAGAAUAAGACGCUAUAGAGGGUAAGAGCCUUAUUUAAUAGGAAACUAUAUUUAUAUAAAGCUCCCUUAAUAAGUUAAAUAAUUUAAGAAUACUACUCUAAGGGGAGGUAUACUCCUUCUAAGGCUAAAUAUUAAUUAAAGACCGAUAAUAUAUAAAUAGAGUAAUCGAAAGAUAAAAAGUAUUUUAAAAAGAGAAUUAAAUAGUAUAUAAAAUUAUUGAAUGGGAAGCGCUUACUAUUAAAUAUAGGUUUAAUAAUUUAACUAGGUCUAUAACCUAGGGCACUCCGCUAGCCUAGGCUAGUAUUAGCUUUCUAUUAAAAGUAAAGGUAUUAAGAAUAUAGCUCUCCUUUAAAGGAGUAUUAUAGCUUAUCGUAUUAUACCCUUCGAGGGGCUAAGGUAUACGCUCUAUAAGGAUAUUAAUAUAAUAAUAGCUAAUAACCUAUCUUAAAAUAUAGACUAAGGAGUUAACCUUAUAUAUGAGUACCUAGGCGUAAAACCCUAAUAUAGAAUAAAAGUAAAUAUAAGUAAGAGCUUUAGUAUAUUAUCGAUUAAUCUUAAUAUCUUUAGAUAGAUUUAAAUAAGAGUAUAUAAGGUUAAACCUAAAAGAAGAUAAACUAUAUAUAUAUAGGGUAAAGCUAGAGGAAACUCUAAUAGAAGCUUAUAAUAAUUCUAAUAUAUAAAUUAAUUAUUAAAUAUAUAUAUAAAAGUAAAAGAUUAAUUAAAUCUUGUAAUAAUUAAUUUCUAUUAAAGUUUCCUUUAAGAUAGUAAUAUUAAUCCUAGUUUUAUAAAAUAAAGCGAAUAAUUAAGGAUUUAAAAGCGUUAUUUAGCUUUUAUCUAUUCUUAAACUUUAAAUAUAUAAAAAGUCUUUAUUACUUUAUUAAAUAUAGAUACUAAAAUAAAAUAAUAUUAAUAGGCUAUUUUUAAUAAAUAGAAUUAAUAAUAUAGGAUAAACCGAAUACGAGGUUAAAGUAUUAGAGUAAAUGCUUAUUAGAUACUAUAAAAGGUAUUAAUAUAUCUUAAUAGUAGGAUAAUAGCUAUAGAAGUCGGAAUCCGCUAAAGACUAUAUAAUAACUUACUUAUUAAAUAUAUUAGCCCUAAAAAUAGAUAGCGCUUAAGUAUCCUACUUAUACCUCGCCCUUAAUAUAGGCUUAGUAUAUCGAGGAGUAAGCGGAUAUAGAGGUUAAUAAUAAAGCCUAGGAUAUAAAUCUAAGUAGAACGGCCUUUAAUAUAGAUCUUAAUAAUAAUAGUAAAUACUUUAAUAAGAAUUUAAAGGACUAAAAUAAGGAAAAGUUCUAUAUAAAUAAUAAUUAAAUAUAAAUUAAUCGAUCUUAAGCUAUAAGGAAGUUCUAUUUUAAAUAAGCGCUCUUACUUUAUAUAGCGAAAGGGAAGCUAAUUAAUAUUCUAAUACCUAGAUAUAGGUUUUACGUAAUAACGUAAUUAAACGUAGAGAUAAUAAUAAAGGCCCUAGGAAGAAUUCUCUUUUCUUUUUAACGAUUUAUUACCUUAGAAUUAGUUUAUCCGGAGAUAGGGUUUAAUAGUCGGAAGAGCUUAGCGCUUCUAUUAAGUCUAGUAUAUCCUCGAUAUCCUUUAAAAAUCUAUAAGAAGGAAUAAUUCUUAUACUAGGUCGUAUUUAUAAUUAUAAUAAGUCUCUAAGGUAAAUAGCCUCUAGUUAAUAGAGUAAUAUAGAUAAGGGAAAUUAGUAAAAUAGAUCUAUAACUUCGGGAAAAGGAUUAGCUCUAAGGAUCGAGUAUAUUAGGCCUUAAAUAGAUAGUUUAAUAGUAAGAGGUUACUAGCUAAGUAACUAGCUAGAGGCUCUUUAUUACUUAGCUCGAUACUCUUAAUAGGCUUUAGCUAUUUAGUAUAUAUUUAACGAUUAACUUAGAGCUAGUAUAGAUAAAGGGAAUCUAAUUAUUUAAUUAAAAUAUAGUAUUAUAAUAGCUAGAAAGUAAUAUUAAUAUAAUAUAAUUUCUACUUAGUACUCUAAAUAUUAAAGUAAAAUAAUUUAAUUAAGCGUAAAUAAAUAAUAAGAGUAAUUAUAAUUCUCUUAAAGUAGCUAAAUACCUUAUUAUCUAAUUAAUAAUAUAUAUAAAUAGAUUAAUAAGAUUCCUAUUAUCUUUAUCUAUUAUUUAGCGAAAUUAUAAUUAAGGGAAUAGGCUUAGUAGAAUUAGUAGGGAAAGAAGACCCUAUUAAGCUAUAAUAACUAAGGAAGUAGGGCGGCCGCGAAUCGACGACC
rnacentral:rRNA from 1 species